GACGAACGCUGGCGGCGUGCUUAACACAUGCAAGUCGAGCGGUAAGGCCCUUUCGGGGUACGACGAGCGGCGAACGGGUGAGUAACACGUGGGUGACCUGCCCUCAGCUCUGGGAUAAGCCUGGGAAACCGGGUCUAAUACUGGAUAUGACUCCAUGACGCAUGUUGUGGGGUGGAAAGCCUUGUGCGGCUGAGGAUGGGCCCGCGGCCUAUCAGCUUGUUGGUGGGGUGAGG
rnacentral:rRNA from 1 species